rnacentral:rRNA from 1 species
UACGAAGGGUGCAAGCGUUACUCGGAAUCACUGGGCGUAAAGCGUGCGUAGGCGGUUUCUUAAGUCUGUCGUGAAAGCCCUGGGCUCAACCUGGGAACGGCGAUGGAUACUGGGAAGCUAAAAUGUGAGAGAGGAUGGUGGAAUUCCCGGUGUAGCGGUGAAAUGCGUAGAGAUCGGGAGGAACACCAGUGGCGAAGGCGGCCGUCUGGCUCAACAUUGACGCUGAGGCACGAAAGCGUGGGGAGCAAACAGG